rnacentral:rRNA from 1 species
AGUUUGAUCCUGGCUCAGAUUGAACGCUGGCGGCAGGCCUAACACAUGCAAGUCGAACGGUAACAGAGAGUAGCUUGCUACUUUGCUGACGAGUGGCGGACGGGUGAGUAAUGUCUGGGGAUCUGCCUGAUGGAGGGGGAUAACUACUGGAAACGGUAGCUAAUACCGCAUAAUGUCGCAAGACCAAAGCGGGGGACUUUCGGGCCUCGCACCAUCAGAUGAACCCAGAUGGGAUUAGCUAGUAGGUAAGGUAAUGGCUUACCUAGGCGACGAUCCCUAGCUGGUCUGAGAGGAUGACCAGCCACACUGGAACUGAGACACGGUCCAGACCCCUACGGGAGGCAGCAGUGGGGAAUAUUGCACAAUGGGCGCAAGCUUGAUGCAGCCAUGCCGCGUGUAUGAAGAAGGCCUUCGGGUUGUAAAGUACUUUCAGUCAGGAGGAAGGGUGUGAAAUUAAUACUUUCAUGCAUUGACGUUACUGACAGAAGAAGCACCGGCUAACUCCGUGCCAGCAGCCGCGGUAA